CACAACUUAGUUGAUAAGACGAUUCUCUUUCAAGUAAUAGAUCGAGAGUUCGUCACUUAAUCUACGUGAGCAGUAAUUCUAAAAAAAAUAAAAAUUAAUUGUCCCUUCAUGGGCAUGGAAUCGAUGAGGCUCAGUCAACUCUAAAGUAUUGAAUUAGUUAAGCUUGAAUACGAACAUAGUUAAGCUAUCAAAGCAACUCUAACUGUUUGCUUGCUAAACUUUUCUAUUUCUUGUUAACUAUAAAUGAUCAGAUUAAAGCAUAUUUGUGACCAAGAAAAGGGAUUAGAUUCUAGCUUGUUGCUGGUUGAAGAUGAAAGUGGAGUGAAGAUAUGAGAACAAUAAAUUAAAUACAAAGCAGCUGAUUAGGAUAAGUGGUUUUGGGUAUUUUUUGUUUUUUAAUUUGCUAAUGUAGUUGCGAGACCUAGAAUUUCUUCACUUUGUUUCUGCUCUCUCUCUCUAUCUUGUUUUUCAAUGUUUGUUAUAACAUAUUUCUAAGAGGCAUGGUGGUUCAAUUAAAUAAUGGGGGUUAGGGAAGACUGUGAUAGACGAUAAGUCAAUGAGGUUUGUCUUAUAUGUAUAUAUCGUUCUUGCAGGGGAGCUGCGGUGGAACUUGUGGAGCCUUGACAUGUAGGUGUUUGCAAGGGGAACCUUGUAUGAAUUAUGUUUAUUGUACUGACUAGUUUGGGUUGGGUGUUGGCAUGCAAUACCAUAAUCCUUCCUAAUGUCCUUAAAAAACAGCCUUAUGUGAGAGAUAAACUUUAAAUUCUGGAUAUCACAAUGCUAGGAAUUCUUAUUUGUUGUGUAUAAUUUAAUUUAUAAUUGUUUCUCUUUGUUGUCAACAAUUCAUGGAGCUUCACGAUGUCACAUGAUGAAAUGGAUAUCACAAUGCUAGGAACUCAGAUUUCAGUGAUGAAAUGGACAAGGAACUUAGCCAAAUGAGUGCGGCAGCUGGGCUAAGGAGGCUGAUGUUAUGAGAAGCAAAUUGGAGACGGCGAAAGAGAGGAAGCUGAUGCUCGCUGCUGAAGUUCGGUUUCUACGGAAAAGGCAUAUAUACCUUGUGAAGACGAAGGAUGCGAAUUCACCUGUGCAAGAACAAAAUCUUGUACAAGCGCCAAACUCACUAAAGCGUGCUAAAAUCACAAAGCAGCAGCUUCUGAAUGGAAAAGAAGCGAGCCGGCAUAGAUUGCCUUCAGCUCCAGUACCCAUCUCCAAGAAGAAACGAGUUGCUCUGCCGAUGCUUCAUGUAGUAAAACAUGUAUUAACAGGCAACUUGUGUAGCUCGAAUUGUUGGAUGCUAUGUUAUAUAUGCUAAUAUUAUCUUGUCAAUGUUAUUUUAUUA